rnacentral:rRNA from 1 species
AUGGCGUCCUCGUCCCGGACGAGUACCGCGCAAGCUUACGAUCCACUGCUGGGGACCAACAUGUCGCCGCCGUCCAGCUCCUCCACUUCCACCUCCACCGUCCUCGCCGACGAGGUGAGCACGAUGUGUAGCCAGAUACUCGCGGAGAUGAAGGGCAUGAUCGCCGUCGGAGCGGCGGCGGCCGUGUGCUUCGGGGCGUGGAGGUACUACACGUACCACACCUGCCUGGGCACCUACGGCCGGGACAUGACGGCCGCCGCCGGCAAGGGCGACCCGGUGGUGGGACGCGACGACGAGAUCGACCGCGUCAUCCGCAUCCUCUGCCGCCGGAGCAAGAACUGCGUGGCCCUUGUCGGCGCCGCGGGGGUCGGCAAGACGGCCAUCGCCGAGGGCCUCGCGCAGCGCAUCGCCGCGGGGAAGGUGCCCAAGCAGCUCAAGGGCACGCGCCUCGUGGAGCUCGACCUCGGGGCCAUGGUGGCCGGGACGCAGUGGCGCGGCAUGUUCGAGGAGCGCAUGAAGGCCGUCAUCAGGCGGGCCGAGGCCUCCCGCGGCAAGAUCAUACUGUUCAUCGACGAGAUGCACACGCUCGUCGGCGCCGGCGACUACCAGCGCCGAAACGACGCCGCCAACAUGCUCAAGCCGGCGUUGGCCCGUGGCCGCAUCCGCUGCAUCAGCGCCACCACGUUCGACGAGUACCGCAAGCACAUCGAGAAGGACACCGCGCUCGAGCGGCGGUUCCAGAAGGUGCACGUCGAGCAGCCGACCACACAGGCCACCGUCGCCAUCCUGCAGGGGAUCAGGCGGCGGUAUCAGAAGCACUAUGGCCUGGAAAUCCAGGAUGCUGCUGUUGACGCCGCCGUGCACCUUGCUGACCGCUAUAUCACCGGUCGUCAAUUUCCUGAUAAGGCAAUUGAUCUAAUAGACGAGGCUUGCACCUCCGUCGAGAGAAAAGCAAAAGCAAUUGUUGGCCCGGAUCUUAUCGCACAGGUAAGGGGGAUGUGCUUGUCAUGCCAUUUUCAACUAAUUUUAUUGAAGAUAGGAGUUAAGCCGUUAAUCUCAUGUUGUUAUUUGAAGGUGGUAAGCCGGUGGACCGGGAUUCCUUUAACUCAGCUUGAUCAAGAUGAGAAGGUCAAGUUAAUGCACCUAGCAGACAAAUUGCAUGAGAGAGUAGUUGGGCAGAAUGAGGCGGUCGAUUUGGUUGCAGAUGCCGUGUUGCGUUCUAGGGUUGGUCUUGCUCGAGGUGGCCAACCGGUAGGCUCCUUCCUCUUUCUAGGCUCAACUGGUGUUGGAAAGACAGAACUUGCGAAAGCUCUCGCCGAGCAGUUAUUUGGCAGCGAGAAGAUGUUGGUUCGCUUCGACAUGUCAGAAUAUAGUUGCCCUUCUUCCGUGACGCGUCUCAUUGGAGCAGCGCCAAGGUUGACUGAUGGUAAAGGCCAGAACGUAGAUUUCAAAAAUACAGUCAUCAUUAUGACGUCGAAUCUUGGGGCACAACACCUAACAGAAGGAAGCACGAUGAAAGUUGCACAUGACCUUCUCAUGAAACAGGUUCGGAAAUACUUCAAGCCGGAACUCCUCAACAGACUGAGCGAGGUUGUGAUAUUCGAGCCGCUUUCGCACCAGCAGCUGAAGGAGAUAGUGAAUAUCCAGAUGAAGGACAUGUACGGUGCGAGGCCUAUAAAGAGGUGGGUCGAGAAGAAUGUAAUCACGGUCAUCUGCAAGAUGCUG